rnacentral:rRNA from 1 species
CACCGCGGUUAUACGAGGGGCCCAAGUUGAUAAACGCCGGCGUAAAAUGUGGUUAAUAUACUAUUGCACUAAAGCCAAACAUCUUCAAAGAUGUUAUACCCAUAUGAAGACAGGAAGCACUUCCACGAAAGUGGCUUUAAAUAAUAUUAUCCACGAAAGCUAGGAGA